rnacentral:rRNA from 1 species
UGAGGAAUUUUGCGCAAUGGGGGAAACCCUGACGCAGCAACGCCGCGUGAGUGAUGAAGGCCUUCGGGUCGUAAAGCUCUGUCGAGUGGGAAGAAACAGUUCAGGUUAAUAUCCUGAACCUUGACGGUACCACUAAAGGAAGCACCGGCUAACUCCGUGCCAGCAGCCGCGGUAAUACGGGGGGUGCAAGCGUUCUUCGGAAUUAUUGGGCGUAAAGGGUGCGUAGGCGGUUUUGUAAGUCAGAUGUGAAAUCCCGGGGCUUAACUUCGGAACUGCAUUUGAUACUGCAAGAAUUGGGUAUGGGAGAGGAGAGCGGAAUUCCUGGUGUAGAGGUGAAAUUCGUAGAUAUCAGGAGGAACACCGGUGGCGAAGGCGGCUCUCUGGACCAAUACUGACGCUGAGGCGCGAAGGCGUGGGGAGCAAACA